GCCCGAAAUCCAUUAAUUCUGUUUUCCUGCAUCUAUGUAUACCAGGGAACGGUUCUUUUAAUGAUAAUCUUAAUGCCCAACACGCAGAAUUUAAGCAACAAAUAGAUAAAGAAAACUUAAAACGUAUUACUGGACCUUAGAGUGGCACGAUUUAACAUUAAUAAAGAAUAGUACAGGACAGGCCUGAGGUCGUGGAAAGAGAAUCAACAAUGGUAGACAAGCCAAACAUCAAGGGAUACAGAAGUCAGGAUAGUCAGAUAACAAGCCACAGUCAAAAUAUACAGCAAUCAAUAAAAUCAACCUGCUCUCGGAUAACCAAAG